UACGAAGGGAGCUAGCGUUACUCGGAAUAACUGGGCGUAAAGCGCAUGUAGGCGGAAAUACAAGUCAGGGGUGAAAUCCCGAGGCUCAACCUCGGAAUUGCCUUUGAAACUGUAUUUCUUGAGUAUGGCAGAGGAUGGUGGAAUUUCCAGUGUAGAGGUGAAAUUCGUAGAUAUUGGAAAGAACACCGGUGGCGAAGGCGACCAUCUGGGCCAUAACUGACGCUGAGAUGCGAAAGCGUGGGGAGCGAACGGG
rnacentral:rRNA from 1 species